rnacentral:lncRNA from 1 species
CCCACAUAUAACAAAACCCUAAUAUCUAAAUAUCAUUUCUUUCAAUCCACUAGAAUAAAUAGCUCAAAAAUGCUCAAAUAGUUAGCUUCCUUAUCAUAUUUUUCAAGUAUAAGCUAUAAAUUUAAAACCCUAAACUUUUACCACAAAACUCAACGAAAAUAAAAUCCAAAUUUACCUCAAAAUAGAAGAAUAAAUUGAGAACCCAAAUUUCAAUCUCUUUAGUGACUUCCUCCUUUUUCUUCUUUUCUUUCUUCUUCCUUUUCUCUUUUCUUUCCCCUUAUUCUUGGUUUUUAUUCUUCCUCUGCCGUUUUUUUUUUCAAGACUGUGUGUGUGUGAGAGAGAGAGAAAUGAAAUGAGAAAUGGGAUAAAUGGUUUAAUAAUAGCCACUUGCUACACUAACCCAUAAUUGCUCUUAAGUCCUCCAACUUUAUAUAAUAAAUUAUUAAAUCCUUAACUUCUAUAAUUAGAAAAUUACAUCCCAACUUUAAAUUUAAUCCAUCUUAAUCCCUCAAAAUAUCGUCAAUAAAAUAAUUUUCUUCAUUUAAGUCUUUAUUUGACUAAAAUUUUGACAAUUCUACUUUUGACUUUUGACUAGGAAAAUCUGAUUGUAACAAUUAUAGUUUCUUCCUAGAUAAAUUGAAUUCGAAAGGAAAGCUACGGUUUACCACAACUACAAAAUAGGUACUAAUUUGUUCAGGCACAAUA